GUCGACCAAAGAAAAUCUUAGUCGGGGACAGCCCUAAGAUCUAUAAAUGUUUAUGUGUGCAUAACCCCUCCCCAUAUAGUGGGGAUAGCUUGAAGGCCUUCAAGAGUACGGAUGCUUAUCAAUAUGCUGUGGCUGGAUGGAUGAAAGAAAUCAGAGAUUCUGGCUAUCUUCAACAGGCUCGUAUCUUUGUGAACACACUGCCAGUGAGCGACCCGAGUCUGACUGAGGCUAAUGCCAAAAUAGUUGAAUGAGGGACCAUGGCUGCCGCCUAAGACUGCGGGCCACGCAUUUUCACUCAAAUUUCAAGACAAAGUUCUGAUGUGACAGAUACAUGGGGAAUCGCUUUCUCUCUUAAAGGCUGUCCUCCUCGACCUUUUUGGUAGCGAAAUCACCGAGAUGAACUUCACCGAAACACAGAGGGAUAAAGUUAGCAACUUUAAAAUCGGUUAAAUAGACGUAAUGAGUGGCACUGCACAUAACGUUAAGAGACAUGACAUUUUAUUUUGUUUGAGGUUUAACUUCUCCAGUUGGGCAAGUACUCUUCCACUUGCCCUACAAAAAAAAUCCACUUGUCCCGGACGAUGAGACGGUCGGUCUUGGAAUGCACAGCAAUGUCGCUAUAUAAAACUGCGUUGCUCUUUUGAAAGGACCUUAUAUGUUUGAGCCAUCUAAGGCAAAAUCACAUUGAGUUACAAGAUGCUUCUAUAUUACUCCUAACUAUUAUAGUUAGAAUAGUUAGCAUAACAUCACAUUAGCUAACACAGUCAGCCGAUCCUCCUCACAAUGCUUGCUCUAGCUUUAUCUCUGCUUAGGUAAUUUAGCCUGUGCCAUAUUGUUUUAAUAUAAUUAUUUAGCUGGCUAAUUGCAAAAGUAUGCAACUAAUUGGUUUGCCUCUUGCUCCUUUACAGUUGCAUGCAGUGUAAAUUCGUCACAUCCAGUCAAGAAGUUCUUCAAAGAUACCCCGGACUGCGGCAAGGAAUAGGAGCACACUGACCCAGAACCUAAUUUUCUUAAUCUGUAGCCUUGUGACUCCACAUUAAUUGGAGUGCUAAAGUUUAAAACACAAACACAGCUUUGAGAUGGAUCCCAAGCCAUGGUGGACAACAAAAAAAGGACCAAUAAAGAGACUACCUUUCCUCCUCUGCCACAACCACAACCAGUGACUGCAACAUCCCAUUGUUGGACAGAUUAUCCUACUACCGUCACACGGCCUAGCACUGUGUCCCUGGGAAAUGAUGGUUAUGCUCCGGAAGAUGGAGACUUCACUUGACAGUGAUGGACCUACGGGUGGCCCAAACACAGGCUGUCCUCCAAGACCUAGAGAAGCGCCUUACGGUGAUGGAGUUCUGAAAGAGAGUGACGCUGUGAGGAAGUGGAAGACGGGACAGGGAGAGACGGCUGUUGAGUUCCUCAUAGCAGAGACACUCAAACACACCCCGGCAGCCGAUUCAAAACAAGCCAGGUGUAUGAAUCAUGAUUGCAGCGUCAAUAUCCAAAGUUUCACGUGGCUAUGUGACAAAAAACUAGAAUCACAUAAUAUUUUUUUGAUCUAUAUUAUUUUAGAUGUGAUUUUUUAUGACUUGUAUAGCCCCUUUCACACAAGCAAUUAUGUUGAUAGGACCUGUAGCGGGGACUGACAGAAGAUUUUAAUUCACUGUUUGGCACUUUGUUUUAAAUAAAAUGACUGAAUGUUACAUGGAAAUGCUGCC